GACGAACGCUGGCGGCGUGCCUAAUACAUGCAAGUAGAACGCUGAAGAGAGGAGCUUGCUCUUCUUGGAUGAGUUGCGAACGGGUGAGUAACGCGUAGGUAACCUGCCUUGUAGCGGGGGAUAACUAUUGGAAACGAUAGCUAAUACCGCAUAACAAUGGAUGACCCAUGUCUUUUAUUUGAAAGGGGCAAAUGCUCCACUACAAGAUGGACCUGCGUUGUAUUAGCUAGUAGGUGAGGUAACGGCUCACCUAGGCGACGAUACAUAGCCGACCUGAGAGGGUGAUCGGCCACACUGGGACUGACACACGGCCCACACUCCUACGGGAGGCAGCAGUAGGGAAUCUUCGGCAAUGGGGGCAACCCUGACCGAGCAACGCCGCGUGAGUGAAGAAGGUUUUCGGAUCGUAAAGCUCUGUUGUAAGUCAAGAACGAGUGUGAGAGUGGAAAGUUCACACUGUGACGGUAGCUUACCAGAAAGGGACGGCUAACUACGUGCCAGCAGCCGCGGUAAUACGUAGGUCCCGAGCGUUGUCCGGAUUUAUUGGGCGUAAAGCGAGCGCAGGCGGUUUGAUAAGUCUGAAGUUAAAGGCUGUGGCUCAACCAUAGUUCGCUUUGGAAACUGUCAAACUUGAGUGCAGAAGGGGAGAGUGGAAUUCCAUGUGUAGCGGUGAAAUGCGUAGAUAUAUGGAGGAACACCGGUGGCGAAAGCGGCUCUCUGGUCUGUAACUGACGCUGAGGCUCGAAAGCGUGGGGAGCGAACAGGAUUAGAUACCCUGGUAGUCCACGCCGUAAACGAUGAGUGCUAGGUGUUGGAUCCUUUCCGGGAUUCAGUGCCGCAGCUAACGCAUUAAGCACUCCGCCUAGGGAGUACGACCGCAAGGUUGAAACUCAAAGGAAUUGACGGGGGCCCGCACAAGCGGUGGAGCAUGUGGUUUAAUUCGAAGCAACGCGAAGAACCUACCAGGUCUUGACAUCCCGAUGCUAUUUCUAGAGAUAGAAAGUUACUUCGGUACAUCGGUGACAGGUGGUGCAUGGUUGUCGUCAGCUCGUGUCGUGAGAUGUUGGGUUAAGUCCCGCAACGAGCGCAACCCCUAUUGUUAGUUGCCAUCAUUCAGUUGGGCACUCUAGCGAGACUGCCGGUAAUAAACCGGAGGAAGGUGGGGAUGACGUCAAAUCAUCAUGCCCCUUAUGACCUGGGCUACACACGUGCUACAAUGGUUGGUACAACGAGUUGCGAGUCGGUGACGGCAAGCUAAUCUCUUAAAGCCAAUCUCAGUUCGGAUUGUAGGCUGCAACUCGCCUACAUGAAGUCGGAAUCGCUAGUAAUCGCGGAUCAGCACGCCGCGGUGAAUACGUUCCCGGGCCUUGCAC
rnacentral:rRNA from 1 species